rnacentral:rRNA from 1 species
GACGUAGGGGGCGAGCGUUGUCCGGAUUCAUUGGGCGUAAAGAGCGCGUAGGCGGCCCGGAAAGUGGGGUGUGAAAACCCGAGGCUCAACCUCGGGCGUGCACUCCAAACUCCCGGGCUCGAGGCAGGUAGGGGAGAUCGGAAUUCCUGGUGUAGCGGUGAAAUGCACAGAUAUCAGGAGGAACACCAGUGGCGAAGGCGGGUCUCUGGACAGUUCCUGACGCUGAGGCACGAAGGUCAGGGGAGCAAACGGG